rnacentral:rRNA from 1 species
UACGAAGGGGGCUAGCGUUGCUCGGAAUUACUGGGCGUAAAGGGCGCGUAGGCGGACAGUUUAGUCAGAGGUAAAAGCCCAGGGCUCAACCUUGGAACUGCCUUUGAUACUGUCUGUCUUGAGUUCGGGAGAGGUGAGUGGAAUGCCGAGUGUAGAGGUGAAAUUCGUAGAUAUUCGGCGGAACACCAGUGGCGAAGGCGGCUCACUGGUCCGGUACUGACGCUGAGGUGCGAAAGCGUGGGGAGCAAACAGG